GCCUUCAUGGAAUAUAAUCACCACCUCCACCAGAAUCAGCAGCAGAACAGCCACAGCCACUGCCUUCAACAAAAGAUGUAAGGAUACAUAUGUUUGAUAGAAUCUAAACAGGAAUUAUAUAAGCCUUUCAUUACCUCUCCAGUUGUUGACUUGUUGUCUUCGUCUUCCAUCAAGUACCAGCAGUGGUAGAGCCGCUGCCGGUGCCGGUUAUGAGCAUGUUUAAUGUAAUCUUCCUAGGCUUGUGUAUCACCAAUGCCUAGGGGAAGGUCUAGCUUAGCUAUCAGCCUGC
rnacentral:lncRNA from 1 species